AUUGAACGCUGGCGGCAGGCCUAACACAUGCAAGUCGAACGAGUGGCGGACGGGUGAGUAAUGUCUGGGAAACUGCCUGCUGGCGGGGGAUAACUACUGGAAACGGUAGCUAAUACCGCAUACCAUCGGAUCUGCCCUGUGGGGAUUAGCUAGUAGGUGGGGUAACGGCUCACCUCGGAUACCAUCCCUAGCUGGUCUGAGAGGAUGACCAGCCACACUGGAACUGAGACACGGUCCAGACUCCUACGGGAGGAGGAGGUGGGGAAUAUUGCACAAUGGGCGCAAGCCUGAUGCAGCCAUGCGGCGUGUAGGAGGAAGGCCUGCGGGUUGUAAAGUACUUUCAGCGGGGAGGCGUUACCCGCAGAAGAAGCACCGGCUAACUCCGUGCCAGCCGCCGCGGUAAUUC
rnacentral:rRNA from 1 species